AAAUGAAUUGACGGGGGCCCGCACAAGCGGAGGAACAUGUGGUUUAAUUCGAUGAUACGCGAGGAACCUUACCCGGGCUUGAAUUGCAGAUGAAGGAUCCAGAGAUGGUGACGCCCUUCGGGGCAUCUGUGAAGGUGCUGCAUGGUUGUCGUCAGCUCGUGCCGUGAGGUGUCGGCUCAAGUGCCAUAACGAGCGCAACCCCUCUCUUCAGUUGCCAUCAGGUAGAGCUGGGCACUCUGGAGACACUGCCACCGCAAGGUGUGAGGAAGGUGGGGAUGACGUCAAAUCAGCACGGCCCUUACGUCCGGGGCUACACACGUGUUACAAUGGGGGGUACAGAAAGCCGGCUGCCCGCAAGGUCAGUCCAAUCAAGAAAGCCUCCCUCAGUUCGGACUGGGGUCUGCAACCCGACCCCACGAAGCUGGAUUCGCUAGUAAUCGCGCAUCAGCCAUGGCGCGGUGAAUACGUUCCCGGGCCUUGUACACACCGCCCGU
rnacentral:rRNA from 1 species